rnacentral:rRNA from 1 species
UACGGAGGGUGCGAGCGUUGUCCGGAAUCACUGGGCGUAAAGGGCGCGUAGGCGGCCUGAUAAGUAGGGGGUGAAAUCCUGCGGCUUAACCGCAGGGCUGCCUUCUAAACUGUCAGGCUAGAGCACAGUAGAGGCAGGUGGAAUUCCCGGUGUAGCGGUGGAAUGCGUAGAGAUCCGGAAGAACACCGGUGGCGAAGGCGGCCUGCUGGGCUAUGGCUGACACUGAGGCGCGACAGCGUGGGGAGCAAACAGG